rnacentral:rRNA from 1 species
CUACGGGGUGCUGCAGUGAGGAAUAUUGCACAAUGGGGGGAACCCUGAUGCAGCAACGCCGCGUGGAGGAUGACGCAUUUCGGUGUGUAAACUCCUUUUAUAUGUCAAGAAAAUGACGGUAGCAUAUGAAUAAGCACCGGCUAACUCCGUGCCAGCAGCCGCGGUAAUACGGAGGGUGCAAGCGUUACUCGGAGAUCACUGGGCGUAAAGGACGCGUAGGCGGGUUGGAAAGUCAGGUGUGAAAUCCUACAGCUUAACUGUAGAACUGCACUUGAAACUUCUAAUCUAGAGUAUGGGAGGGGAGAUGGAAUUAGUGGUGUAGGGGUAAAAUCCGUAGAUAUCACUAGGAAUACCUAAAGCGAAGGCGAUCUCCUGGAACAUUACUGACGCUAAGGCGUGAAAGCGUGGGGAGCAAACAGGAUUAGAUACCCGCGUAGUC